UUAGAUAUGAAGAAUAACCUCAUACAAUGCAAUGAAAAUGAUCUUCACCUGAAGUGCUGGUACUUCUUGAUCUGUGGCAGUGGCCUGAAGAACGGAGUCAGGUGUUGUUGACAGCCAUAACUUUCCACCAGCACCCUACCAUCCUCCAGUCCAACCAGCUGUGGGAUGUUGACCCCUGUCACUGUGCUGUUCUUCACAACACCAGCAAUCUCAGACAAAGUGUUCACUCUGAUCUUUCGGAAGCGCUGCUUGAUGAGGCCGAAGGGUUAGGAAGAAAUACCUGUCAGCUAUUUUAACAGUCUGUAAUGUUUACCUGGUAAAUGUUUAUAAUGUCGACUACCGUCUUUCAAUGUAAACUGUAAAGUCGAUGUCUAAUGUAUUUUAGUUAGUUGUGUUUGGACCCCAGGUGUUAUGGAGUCAGCUAAUGGGGAUCCAACCAGGUAGACUAGCUGUUGUUAUGGAGUCAGGGGAUCCAACCAGGUAGACUAGCUGUUGUUAUGGAGUCAGGGGAUCCAACCAGGUAGACUAGCUGUUGUUAUGGAGUCAGGGGAUCCAACCAGGUAGACUAGCUGUUGUUAUGGAGUCAGGGGAUCCAACCAGGCAGACUAGCUGUUGUUAUGGAGUCAGGGGAUCUAACCAGGUAGACUAGCUGUUGUUAUGGAGUCAGGGGAUCCAACCAGGUAGACUAGCUGUUGUUAUGGAGUCAGGGGAUCCAACCAGGUAGACUAGCUGUUGUUAUGGAGUCAGGGGAUCCAACCAGGUAGACUAGCUGUUGUUAUGGAGUCAGGGGAUCCAACCAGGUAGACUAGCUGUUGUUAUGGAGUCAGGGGAUCCAACCAGGUAGACUAGCUGUUGUUAUGGAGUCAGGGGAUCCAACCAGGUAGACUAGCUGUUGUUAUGGAGUCAGGGGAUCCAACCAGGUAGACUAGCUGUUGUUAUGGAGUCAGGGGAUCCAACCAGGUAGACUAGCUGUUGUUAUGGAGUCAGGGGAUCCAACCAGGUAGACUAGCUGUUGUUAUGGAGUCAGGGGAUCCAACCAGGUAGACUAGCUGUUGUUAUGGAGUCAGGGGAUCCAACCAGGUAGACUAGCUGUUGUUAUGGAGUCAGGGGAUCCAACCAAGUAGACUAGCUGUUGUUAUGGUGUCAGGGGAUCCAACCAGGUAGACUAGCUGUUGUUAUGGAGUCAGGGGAUCUAACCAGGUAGACUAGCUGUUGUUAUGGAGUCAGGGGAUCCAACCAGGUAGACUAGCUGUUGUUAUGGAGUCAGCGAGUGGGGAUCUAACCAGGUAGACUAGCUGUUGUUAUGGAGUCAGGGGAUCCAACCAGGUAGACUAGCUGUUGUUAUGGAGUCAGGGGAUCCAACCAGGUAGACUAGCUGUUGUUAUGGAGUCAGGGGAUCCAACCAGGUAGACUAGCUGUUGUUAUGGAGUCAGGGGAUCCAACCAGGUAGACUAGCUGUUGUUAUGGAGUCAGGGGAUCCAACCAGGUAGACUAGCUGUUGUUAUGGAGUCAGGGGAUCCAACCAGGUAGACUAGCUGUUGUUAUGGAGUCAGGGGAUCCAACCAGGUAGACUAGCUGUUGUUAUGGAGUCAGGGGAUCCAACCAGGUAGACUAGCUGUUGUUAUGGAGUCAGGGGAUCCAACCAGGUAGACUAGCUGUUGUUAUGGAGUCAGGGGAUCCAACCAGGUAGACUAGCUGUUGUUCUGGAGUCAGCGAGUGGGGAUCUAACCAGGUAGACUAGCUGUUGUUAUGGAGUCAGGGGAUCCAACCAGGUAGACUAGCUGUUGUUAUGG